rnacentral:rRNA from 1 species
GAGCAUGCGGAUUAAUUCGAUGCAACGCGAAGAACCUUACCAAGGCUUGACAUAUAGAGGAAAGGUGCAGAAAUGUACCCCCCGCAAGGUCUCUAUACAGGUGGUGCAUGGUUGUCGUCAGCUCGUGUCGUGAGAUGUUGGGUUAAGUCCCGCAACGAGCGCAACCCUCGUCCUAUGUUGCCAGCACGUAAUGGUGGGAACUCAUGGGAUACUGCCGGGGUCAACUCGGAGGAAGGUGGGGAUGACGUCAAAUCAUCAUGCCCCUUAUGUCUUGGGCUUCACGCAUGCUACAAUGGCCGGUACAGAGGGCUGCAAUACCGCAAGGUGGAGCGAAUCCCACAAAGCCGGUCUCAGUUCGGAUUGAGGUCUGCAACUCGACCUCAUGAAGUUGGAGUCGCUAGUAAUCGUGAAUCAGCAACGUCACGGUGAAUACGUUCCCGGGCCUUGUACACACCGCCCGUCAAGUCAUGAAAGUCGGUAACACCCGAAGCCGGUGGCCUAACCUUUUGGAGGGAGCCGUCGAAGGUGGGAUCGGUGAUUAGGACU